UUCAAAAUCCUCUGGAGUUGCAGGGAACCUUCAAAGGAGGAAUUAAUGGGCGUCUGGAUUGGAUGUCCAAUAAGAGGAUUGAUUAGUGGCAUAUGGGUUGGAACGACCGCAUUUUUAUUCGGGAAACCCCAGCAGUGAAGCACACUGAGUUACCCAGGGACAUUGUAAUUGGCCAGCAAACUAGGUAUUGCUGAGGUAUAAGAAGAAGAUGAAAAAGAAAGAGAAAGAAAAAGAAGUUAUGCCUCUUCUUCUCCAGUCUCUACACGCAGACUUGACUUGAACUUGCUUGAUGAUUUCUCCUGGUCAAACCGAAUUUUUCUCUUUAGAAAUAGUCAACCUUUUUCCUUUUGGAAGGAUUAGUUAAGAUUUAAGAAUUUCAUCAUAACUAGAAAUAUCUUCUCUCGUUUUUAUGGAUUUCCAAAUCUUAACAAACUCUUUUACAUAAAUAAAAAAAAAAAAAAGGAACGGUUAACUGGUUGCGACGUUGCGUUCUCUAUGCUGAUUGCUGACUCAAAUCCUUCGCGACGAGUCAGAUUUCAGCCUGCAUGGAUUUAAAUUCUCUCCAAUUCUCAUGUAAUUCUUUCUAUGCAUGUGAUACAUUUUUAAAAUCCAAUGAUGGUAGAAGUUUCGGAUUAAAAUGGAUUUGAAUUUCAACAAAUAUUAUAACCAUUAAAUUUUGAAAAUAUUACGCAUGCACAAAGGAAUUGCUGAUACCGUUUUCAUG